rnacentral:lncRNA from 10 species
AAAAAUGAAAAGGCUGCAAAGUCAAAAACGGGGAGAUACUGACACCAAAUCUCUGCAAAGCGUUCAAAAUUCUCCAGCUGCCACGCUUUUAAUUUGCUACCAUUCUAAUUAAAAUGCAAAUUAAAUUUAUAAUUAGCAUCAGCGCUUUCUAAAGAAACCUCCUUGUGCGCUGCACAAACAUAUGGGACGAUGCUGUAGUGUAAAGUUUGUAAAACAGAAGUCAUGCACAAAGUGGUGGUGGGGGGAGUGGAGAAUUUUUUUUUCUUUUCCCUGGGAAACAACUUUUAUGCAGACUCGGGGUUGCCUUAAAGGAAUGGCAGUGGUUCUCAGAGGAGGGUUGAAGUGAGUGAGUGUCCCAUUGCAACAAAAGGAUUGCUGAAUAUGGAAGACGGGCUGGGCUGUGACUUUGUGUUGAAUCAGGUGUCAAGGGUUACCCUGCGUGUCAUCAGGACUGUAUAGGAGAUGCCAAAAGGCAAAAGGGGUCAAAGCUUCUAAUCAAAAAGUCUAUGGCCAAAAUUAACCGCUGCUUGCUUCCAGAUAAUUAAUUUAAAAAUUGAUGGGGAACAAAGUACCAAAAUUACCUCAUGAUUCAAACACAUAUCGUGUUUUCAAGAUAAACUGUCCCUCCAAGUUGUUGUUCAAAGCUGAGGGUGUGUGGAGACCCGAGAGCCAUGUUAACUAAAUGUGGAAUAUAUGUGGCACUUCAUUUGCAGAGAUCCUCACUGAGUAUGCCAGUUUUCCCACCAUAAUCCUUUAGACAUAAACACAUAAAUCUGGUGUUGCUGUUUCUUCUUUUUUUUUUUUUUUUCCAGAAAUACAAUUGUGCUGACUGAGCCUCACGGUGCAGAAACAGCUCUGCCUGCAGCUGUAAUAGAAAAUGAAGUCACCUUUGUCGUGGUUUCAUGAACCGCUGGGUAAUCAAAAUUAUUAUGCCGCCACCUGUUGUCUGUUAAUUAUUCUGAGAAGAUACUCAUAAAUCAUAACACUGGACAAUAAAUCAAACUGUCAGUUCUCAGAUCAAAGUUUACCCAUGAAAAGUUAUAGGUCACCCACAGGGUGUGAAAGAGCAGGGUUUUAGAGCAUCACUCAUUGUCAAGCACUGUUGGGAGAAGUGCCAUCGAAACAAAAGGAAAACUGAAGUACAGAAGAAUUCCAGCCAGGGGACAGGAGGAGUUGAUCCAACAUUGCACAUCCAACUACUAGCAAGACCCUCUCUCCAGGGCUCAGAGAUUUGCUGCUCCUUCAGAACCUUUUCGCAAACACUGUCCCCUUUGGAAAAGCCUGAAGAGCUGUGGUGUUAGAACGCUAUCUUUUCUUUUUCAUGUUCACUGGAGAAUAUGCUGGAGAAGUUCACAUCCUACUGCAUUAUUCAUCAGGACAAUCAGAAUACAUCACACUGGAGUUGAUUGGAGGAUGCUUCUGAAUGUCUUACUUCCUAAAUUAAUUUGGUUUGGAAUACGUUUUCCUUGUGGUGUGACAAGAACUUCAACUGCAUUUAAUAUUUUCAACUCAUUUAUUUUCAGUCCCCUGUAUUUAAAAUAACAUCAUCACUUCAAACCAGUGUGCAUUGAUGGAUAUCCUUGAUUUGAAACCUGGCUAGGGGUAAAUUAUUUCUGAUGUGGUGGGAGCAACCUUAGGAUAAAGCAUAAUAAAGACGUCAUGAUAAAGUAGGCAGGGAACAGAAAUAAUGUUUCAGUUGGAAGAUGCAUUGCCUGCUGUUUGAAUUAAAUUCUGUAAAAUGGACAUUGUGCCUUCAUUAAAAAUUUCUCCCCAAAAUAUUAUUUUUUAUUUUGCUUUGCAUUAAUUUGUUAUUUUCUGCUCCAAUAACCAUGGCUGUCCUCAUGAGGAAUAGAAGUACAAUCAGAGGGUCCACUUGGGUCUGAUUUUUUUUUAAAGGACACACCAGUUUGUGUUCAAACCAUAGACCUAAGAAUGCAUACUCAAAUAGAAUAUACCCCUAAACAUAAUCCGCUCCACUUUCUUCCUUCAACCUGGCAAAUCAUUAUCACUCCAUUUUUAAUGGAUGAAAGUCAGUCUCAGAACAUAAAUGAUUUGUCAGGUAGCAGUGGAGCUCAAAGCACAUCCAUUGAUCCAACCUUAACUACGCCUUCAAAUUUAUACCCAUGAAUCAAAGAGUUUAAUUCAAACGUCACAAUGAAGGACAUCAUGGAUGCCGAAGGCCACAGUGUAGUGAAUUCAAGAGUUAACCACGAACAAUUCUACAUACGGACAAUAUCAUAAAAUAGGAAAGUCAUGUUAUUUGAGAGUUCUCUCAUAAUAAUGGAAGUUGUUGAAGCUAUUCUGAUAAUCUUUACAUUUUUCACUGUGUUAACAUUUGGGCAUGUGAGUCCAGGUUGCUGAAGCAGAAAUUGUGAACACUGACUUUCCCAGUUUUCUCUCAGAGUAGAGUUGAGAGCUUUCAUCCAUUUGACAUGCAGGCAUUGAAGGCAUGCUAGAAGCUGGGUAGAAUAGUAGGUACCAGAGGCAGGGCCAGACUAAGACAAGCUCCUCUUGGAGCUGAUAGUCCAGUAGACCUCUGUGUCCAGCAGAUCCCUUAGAUCCUGUCCCUUGGGGGAAAGCUUAGGCUGAUUGAUUUUCCUUGGAAGGAGCUGGCUAUGCCUAUGCCCAGAGUGUGGAAAAUCAGUCACUCUCCACAAUGAGCAUGUAUCCAGUCAUCG